UACGGAGGGUGCAAGCGUUAUCCGGAUUUACUGGGUUUAAAGGGUGUGUAGGCGGAUCUUUAAGUCCGGGGUGAAAUCCCGAAGCUCAACUUCGGAACUGCCCUGGAUACUAUUGGUCUUGAAUUAUGUUGAGGUUGGCGGAAUAUAACAUGUAGCGGUGAAAUGCAUAGAUAUGUUAUAGAACACCGAUUGCGAAGGCAGCUGGCUAAGCAUAUAUUGACGCUGAGGCACGAAAAGCGUGGGGGGAUCAAAACAGG
rnacentral:rRNA from 1 species